AAAACUGUCUGUACCAGUGUAGGUAGUACCAAUGUAAAAAUGCUGUGCUGAGUGGUUAUAUUACUACCUUAAAAAAUAAGCAGAAACUCGACGUUUCGAGCGAAGGCCCUUCGUCAAGAGUUAGUAGCAGGGGAUCGGGGAAAAUGCACGGGCUUUUAUACUAAGAGUAUGAAAGCAUCAUGUAACAAAAAAAUAAACCAAUUAGAUGGAUUUAAUCAUAACAAAGUGUAAACAAAAUAUGUAAAUCGCAUUACAGAAUAUAAAAUAAUAUAAUUAAAAAUAUAAAAAUAUACAGGAAGUUAAGACAAUUACUACAAAAAAUAAUCAAAACAAAACACGAGUGGGAAUAGGGUAAAAGUAAUAAAUAGAGGUUGUCAAUGUCUGCUAUAGACAGGCAAGGACAGAUGGCAUCAUAGACAAACCAGAAGACAUGUAUUCUGGAUUGUCUAUGAUGGCAUUAAACAUAAGAAAAGCGUUCAUUAAUGCCAUAAGGGUGAACAGUGCCA